GAUGAACGCUGGCGGCGUGCCUAAUACAUGCAAGUCGAGCGAACAGACGAGGAGCUUGCUCCUCUGACGUUAGCGGCGGACGGGUGAGUAACACGUGGAUAACCUACCUAUAUUACUGGGAUAACUUCGGGAAACCGGCGCUAAUACCGUAUAAUAUAUUGAACCGCAUGGUUCAAUAGUGAAAGUCGGUUUUGCUGUCACUUCUAGAUGUAUCCGCGCCGCAUUAGCUAGUUGGUAAGGUAACGGGUUACCAAGGCAACGAUGCGUAGCCGACCUGAGAGGGUGAUCGGCCACACUGGAACUGAGACACGGACCAGACUCCUACGGGAGGCAGCAGUAGGGAAUCUUCCGCAAUGGGCGAAAGCUUGACGGAGCAACGCCGCGUGAGAGAUGAAGGUCUUCGGAUCGUAAAACUCUGUUAUUAGGGAAGAACAAAUGUGUAAGGAACUAUGCACGUCUUGACGGUACCUAAUCAGAAAGCCACGGCUAACUACGUG
rnacentral:rRNA from 1 species